GCAGUCGAGCGAACUGAUGAAGAGCUUGCUUUUGAUCAGUUAGCGGCGGACGGGUGAGUAACACGUGGGUAACCUGCCUGUAAGACUAGGAUAACUCCGGGAAACCGGGGCUAAUACUGGAUAACUUUUCUCUCCGCAUGGAGGGAGAUUGAAAGAUGGCUUCGGCUAUCACUUACAGAUGGACCCGCGGCGCAUUAGCUAGUUGGUGAGGUAACGGCUCACCAAGGCAACGAUGCGUAGCCGACCUGAGAGGGUGAUCGGCCACAUUGGGACUGAGACACGGCCCAAACUCCUACGGGAGGCAGCAGUAGGGAAUCUUCCGCAAUGGACGAAAGUCUGACGGAGCAACGCCGCGUGAGUGAAGAAGGUCUUCGGAUCGUAAAACUCUGUUGUUAGGGAAGAACAAGUAUCGUUCGAAUAGGGCGGUACCUUGACGGUACCUAACCAGAAAGCCACGGCUAACUACGUGCCAGCAGCCGCGGUAAUACGUAGGUGGCAAGCGUUGUCCGGAAUUAUUGGGCGUAAAGCGCGCGCAGGCGGUCUUUUAAGUCUGAUGUGAAAGCCCACGGCUCAACCGUGGAGGGUCAUUGGAAACUGGAAGACUUGAGUGCAGAAGAGGAGAGUGGAAUUCCACGUGUAGCGGUGAAAUGCGUAGAGAUGUGGAGGAACACCAGUGGCGAAGGCGACUCUCUGGUCUGUAACUGACGCUGAGGCGCGAAAGCGUGGGGAGCAAACAGGAUUAGAUACCCUGGUAGUCCACGCCGUAAACGAUGAGUGCUAAGUGUUAGAGGGUUUCCGCCCUUUAGUGCUGCAGCUAACGCAUUAAGCACUCCGCCUGGGGAGUACGACCGC
rnacentral:rRNA from 2 species